UACGAAGGGGGCUAGCGUUGCUCGGAAUCACUGGGCGUAAAGGGUGCGUAGGCGGGUCUUUAAGUCAGAGGUGAAAUCCUGGAGCUCAACUCCAGAACUGCCUUUGAUACUGAAGAUCUUGAGUUCGGGAGAGGUGGGUGGAACUGCGAGUGUAGAGGUGAAAUUCGUAGAUAUUCGCAAGAACACCAGUGGCGAAGGCGGCUCACUGGCCCGAUACUGACGCUGAGGCACGAAAGCGUGGGGAGCAAACAGG
rnacentral:rRNA from 1 species